ensembl:lncRNA
GCUCUGGAAGUGAGCAGUCAUGACCUCUGAGAGGGUGUUUGUGUUUGUUGAUGAAGAGGAGCUGUUCAGCGUGAUGAAGGAUGCUGACUGUCUCUACUGCAGGAUUCCUGUCACUGCCUCCAAACAGCACCUCAAAAAGAGACAUCUCAGAUUCGCUAUAUAUUAUAAAGACGCCGGCAUUGGGAGGUUUUCUAUCCCCUGUUACUGCUCUGAUGGAGGCCAUGGCAGGAGCCACUGGCACUGCCCGAUGUGCUCGAAAAUAUUGCACAGGACACAGAACUACAAAAUCCACAUUACCAACCACGGUGUUGAGAUGACAGACAAAUCCUCAGCUGAGCUUCAGCCUACAACAGUCCUGUUAGAGAGCCUGCAAACACACAGCGAAGACAAGACACCGGGCAGCAAGGCAGCGUGCCAGAAGUGUGGCAUCCUCUUUACCACCACAUCAAAUUUGAGACGGCAUGAGAGACUACAGCACGGCCAAGACCAGCAGCCCAUUUUAUGCAUUCUGCUGUGUGAGCUGGAGGAAUGCUGGGAUUUCAUGAAAGCGCAGGCCCAGAGCGGGAAUCCUGGGAAGGAAUGCCGUCACCUCGUGAGAACGAAUCACGCGCAGCACUACGUCCCUCCUCCACCUCUGAGCGUCCGCUCUCUGGAGGAGAUGAGAGACAAACACCUCCUGUCCGCAUCAGAGAAACACGAGUGCCAGGAGAUGAACUCCAGGGCGUGUGUACAGGGGGUGGACUGUGUCUACCCUGUUUUUUGGGGCGAGCAUGACCUUCCAGAGAGAUGCGUCUUCUUCUCUGUGUACACUGACCUUGAGGACAAAUGGUGUCAGUUUGGGAGGACACGCGUCUCGUUCGACAGCAAGUCUGGCAGCUGGAAGUGUCUGUGUAAGCACAAAAGAAGCCGCUGCGUCCACAAGUGUUUGUGUAUGUGGUGGCUGUUUCAGGAGCGUCCCGAACUGUUGCAGGAUGCCCUAGAUGUCCACCCGGAAAGAGCUUUAAAUGACGACCUCUGCUAG